rnacentral:ncRNA from 1 species
CCCCAGGUCAGGCGGGACUACCCGCUGAGUUUAAGCAUAUAAAUAAGCGGAGGAGAAGAAACUUACAAGGAUUCCCCUAGUAACGGCGAGCGAACCGGGAACAGCCCAGCUUGAGAAUCGGCGGGCUGUGCCGUCCGAAUUGUAGUCUGGAGACGCGUCCUCAGCGACGGACCGGGCCCAAGUCCCCUGGAAAGGGGCGCCUGGGAGGGUGAGAGCCCCGUCCGGCCCGGACCCUGUCGCCCCACGAGGCGCGGUC